rnacentral:rRNA from 1 species
CCUACGGGGGGCUGCAGUGGGGAAUAUUGGACAAUGGGUGCAACCCUGAUCCAGCCAUGCCGCGUGUGUGAAGAAGGCCCUCGGGUUGUAAAGCACUUUCAGUGAGGAAGAACGCCUGGUGGUUAAUACCCAUCAGGAAAGACAUCACUCACAGAAGAAGCACCGGCUAACUCCGUGCCAGCAGCCGCGGUAAUACGGAGGGUGCGAGCGUUAAUCGGAAUUACUGGGCGUAAAGCGCGCGUAGGUGGCUUGAUAAGCCGGUUGUGAAAGCCCCGGGCUCAACCUGGGAACGGCAUCCGGAACUGUCAAGCUAGAGUGCAGGAGAGGAAGGUAGAAUUCCCGGUGUAGCGGUGAAAUGCGUAGAGAUCGGGAGGAAUACCAGUGGCGAAGGCGGCCUUCUGGACUGACACUGACACUGAGGUGCGAAAGCGUGGGUAGCAAACAGGAUUAGAUACCCCGGUAGUC